UUAUCGGAGAGUUUGAUCCUGGCUCAGGACGAACGCUGGCGGCGUGCCUAAUACAUGCAAGUCGAGCGGACAGAUGGGAGCUUGCUCCCUGAUGUUAGCGGCGGACGGGUGAGUAACACGUGGGUAACCUGCCUGUAAGACUGGGAUAACUCCGGGAAACCACAGAGAAAAA
rnacentral:rRNA from 1 species